ensembl:lncRNA
GAUUCAUGACAGGCCGCUGGUACAUGGAGUAUUAGAGCUCUCACUUACAAUGCACAGAUCAAAUUUGAAUUUGGCCUAUAUUAAAUUAUAUCUCUUCCUUUGAUGUGUCAGGUCGGUACAUUUGGAGAACGGCGCAGAAGACUGUUCGGAAGGCUGAUGGUGGCAUUACCUGCGUGCAAAUCACCUCAAGGUAGAAUCGAAAGAAAACAGAGCAGUGAUGACUCAUCCUGCACUACACAGAUUUUUUGUCCAAUCAGAUGCUCUCUCUUGAAGAAUGGCCCGCCCCCUUAGCCACAUACAACCGACUAGAAAUGGAGCAGUGAUGACUCAUCCAGCACUACAGAUUUUUGUCCAAUCAGAUGCUCUCUUGAAGGAGAACAUCCCGCCCCCUUAUGCUGCACACAACCGACUACUGGCCCAUCCCAAGAGUGUUGUGCAUUGUGCCGGACUGAAGAAAUCUCAUCACUGUAUUGAUACAUCACAAAAGCCAAGCACAAUCAUCAUCUGUGAAAGAUCCUCUGAGACCAAUUUAAACCCCAAAGAUUUUGACCAUAACAUUUAAAUCAGCAAAACGGUUUAAUUCAGUGUUGGCUAUGAUAGUCCUGAAUACAAUUAUUGUACCUUCAACAUGGCAGAAUUCAUUAAAAUAGCCAUAUAACUGAUAUCAGUGUUAGUCCAAUAUUUCCAUAAUUUCCUCACUGUAAAAUAAUUGGACCUAGAUCUCGUUUUAAGGCCAUGGGAGAACUUUGAUGGGACUCAUUUGCAAUGAGGGUGUCUUUUUCAAACAAGACAUUAAUUAAGUUAGAGUAUCCGCUCUCCAAUAUUCUGCCUUAUAUAUAUUUUUGACAGCUUUAAGGAAUUAAAGGAACGGUUCACUCAGAAAUGAAAAAUCUAUGAUUAUUUAUUUGCCUUUAUGUCAUUGGCCCAACCUGUAUCACUCUCUGUCUUCUGUGGUAUAUGAAGUGCAUAUAUAGAAAAAUCUCCAUGCAGCUCUUUUAUUAUAAACCCAUUUGAAAGCUUUGUUUAAGGAACAUGCUGAUAUCGAAGUCACUGUUCAUUGCUAAUCUUCC